rnacentral:lncRNA from 1 species
AUAUCAUGGAAAUCAGGACAGUGGCAGUUCGGAUUGUGGCAAUCAAAGGGGUGGAAAGUGAAUUCUAUCUUGCAAUGAACGAGGAAGGAAAACUCUAUGCAAAGAAAGAAUGCAAUGAAGAUUGUAACUUCAAAGAACUAAUUCUGGAAAACCAUUACAACACAUAUGCAGCAGCUAAAUGGACACACAAUGGAGGGGAAAUGUUUGUUGCCUUAAAUCAAAAGGGGAUUCCUGUAAGAGGAAAAAAAACGAAGAAAGAACAAAAAACAGCCCACUUUCUUCCUAUGGCAAUAACUUAAUUGCAUAUGGUAUAUAAAGAACCAGUUCCAGUAGGGAGAUUUCUUUAAGUGGACUGUUUUCUUUCUUCUCAAAAUUUUCUUUCCUUUUAUUUUUUAGUAAUCAAGAAAGGCUGGAAAACUACUGAAAAACUGAUCAAGCUUGACUUGUGCAUUUAUGUUUGUUUUAAGACACUGCAUUAAAGAAAGAUU